CAAGUCGUGGGGCAGCAUGUCCCGCAGCAAUGCGGGAUGAUGGCGACCGGCAAACGGGUGCGGAACACGUACACAACCUUCCUUCGAGUGGGGAAUAGCCCGGGGAAACCCGGAUUAAUACCCCGUAACAUAAUGGAGUGGCAUCACUUUAUUAUUAUAGCUCCGGCGCUUGAAGAUGGGUGUGCGACUGAUUAGGCAGUUGGCGGGGUAACGGCCCACCAAACCUACGAUCAGUAACUGGUGUGAGAGCACGACCAGUCACACGGGCACUGAGACACGGGCCCGACUCCUACGGGAGGCAGCAGUAAGGAAUAUUGGUCAAUGGACGCAAGUCUGAACCAGCCAUGCCGCGUGGAGGAUGAAGGCCCUCUGGGUUGUAAACUUCUUUUAUCUGGGACGAAAAAGGGACUUUCUAGUUCAACUGACGGUACCAGAGGAAUAAGCACCGGCUAACUCCGUGCCAGCAGCCGCGGUAAUGCGGAGGGUGCAAGCGUUAUCCGGAUUCACUGGGUUUAAAGGGUGCGUAGGUGGGUUGGUAAGUCAGUGGUGAAAUCUCCAGGCUUAACUUGGAAACUGCCAUUGAUACUAUUAAUCUUGAAUGCCGUGGAGGUCAGCGGAAUAUGUCAUGUAGCGGUGAAAUGCUUAGAUAUGACAUAGAACACCAAUUGCGAAGGCAGCUGGCUACACGAAUAUUGACACUGAUGCACGAAAGCGUGGGGAUCAAACAGGAUUAGAUACCCUGGUAGUCCACGCCCUAAACGAUGGAUACUCGACAUACGCGAUAUACUGUGUGUGUCUGAGCGAAAGCAUUAAGUAUCCCACCUGGGAAGUACGAUCGCAAGAUUGAAACUCAAAGGAAUUGGCGGGGGUCCGCACAAGCGGUGGAGCAUGUGGUUUAAUUC
rnacentral:rRNA from 1 species